UUUAUGGAGAGUUUGAUCCUGGCUCAGGAUGAACGCUGGCGGCGUGCCUAAUACAUGCAAGUCGAGCGAACGGACGAGAAGCUUGCUUCUCUGAUGUUAGCGGCGGACGGGUGAGUAACACGUGGAUAACCUACCUAUAAGACUGGGAUAACUUCGGGAAACCGGAGCUAAUACCGGAUAAUAUUUUGAACCGCAUGGUUCAAAAGUGAAAGACGGUCUUGCUGUCACUUAUAGAUGGAUCCGCGCUGCAUUAGCUAGUUGGUAAGGUAACGGCUUACCAAGGCAACGAUGCAUAGCCGACCUGAGAGG
rnacentral:rRNA from 1 species